GGGGCAGCAUGAGUGUAGCAAUACACUUGAUGGCGACCGGCAAACGGGUGCGGAACACGUACAGAACCUUCCUUCGAGCGGGGAAUAGCCCAGAGAAAUUUGGAUUAAUACCCCAUAGUAUUAUGAAGUGGCAUCACUUUAUAAUUAAAGAUUUAUCACUUGAAGAUGGCUGUGCGGCUGAUUAGGUAGUUGGCGGGGUAACGGCCCACCAAGCCUACGAUCAGUAACUGGUGUGAGAGCACGACCAGUCACACGGGCACUGAGACACGGGCCCGACUCCUACGGGAGGCAGCAGUAAGGAAUAUUGGUCAAUGGACGAAAGUCUGAACCAGCCAUGCCGCGUGGAGGAUGAAGGUCCUCUGGAUUGUAAACUUCUUUUAUCUGGGACGAAAAAAGGCUUUUCUAAGUCGUCUGACGGUACCAGAUGAAUAAGCACCGGCUAACUCCGUGCCAGCAGCCGCGGUAAUACGGAGGGUGCAAGCGUUAUCCGGAUUCACUGGGUUUAAAGGGUGCGUAGGUGGGUUGGUAAGUCAGUGGUGAAAUCCCCGAGCUUAACUUGGGAACUGCCAUUGAUACUAUCAGUCUUGAAUACCGUGGAGGUCAGCGGAAUAUGUCAUGUAGCGGUGAAAUGCUUAGAUAUGACAUAGAACACCAAUUGCGAAGGCAGCUGGCUACACGAAUAUUGACACUGAGGCACGAAAGCGUGGGGAUCAAACAGGAUUAGAUACCCUGGUAGUCCACGCCCUAAACUAUGGAUACUCGACAUUUGCGAUACACUGCAAGUGUCUGAGCGAAAGCAUU
rnacentral:rRNA from 1 species